rnacentral:rRNA from 1 species
UGCCCUAGUAACGGCGAGUGAAGCGGCAACAGCUCAAAUUUGAAAUCUGGCUCUUUUAGAGUCCGAGUUGUAAUUUGCAGAGGGCGCUUUGGCAUUGGCAGCGGUCCAAGUUCUUUGGAACAGGACGUCACAGAGGGUGAGAAUCCCGUACGUGGUCGCUAUCCUUUGCCGUGUAAAGCCCCUUCGACGAGUCGAGUUGUUUGGGAAUGCAGCUCUAAAUGGGAGGUAAAUUUCUUCUAAAGCUAAAUACUGGCCAGAGACCGAUAGCGCACAAGUAGAGUGAUCGAAAGAUGAAAAGCACUUUGGAAAGAGAGUCAAAUAGCACGUGAAAUUGUUGAAAGGGAAGCGCUUGCAGCCAGACUUGCCUGUAGUUGCUUAUCUAGACUUUUGUCUAGUGCACUCUUCUGCAGGCAGGCCAGCAUCAGUUUGGGCAGUUGGAUAAAGGUCUCUGUCACGUACCUCUCUUCGGGGAGGCCUUAUAGGGGAGACGACAUGCAACUAGCCUGGACUGAGGUCCGCGCAUCUGCUAGGAUGCUGGCGUAAUGGCUGUAAGCGGCCCGUCUUGAAACACGGACCAAGGAGUCUAACAUCUAUGCGAGUGUUUGGGUGUCAAGCCCAGACGCGGAAUGAAAGUGAACGGAGGUGGGAACCCUUUGGGUGCACCAUCGACCGAUCCUGAUGUUUUCGGAAGGAUUUGAGUAAGAGCAUGGCUGUUGGGACCCGAAAGAUGGUGAACUAUGCUUGAAUAGGGUGAAGCCAGAGGAAACUCUGGUGGAGGCUCGCAGCGGUUCUGACGUGCAAAUCGAUCGUCAAAUUUGGGCAUAGGGGCGAAAGACU